rnacentral:rRNA from 1 species
GACGAACGCUGGCGGCGUGCUUAACACAUGCAAGUCGAACGGUAAGGCCCUUCGGGGUACACGAGUGGCGAACGGGUGAGUAACACGUGGGUGAUCUGCCCUGCACUUCGGGAUAAGCCUGGGAAACUGGGUCUAAUACCGGAUAGGACCCUGGGAUGCAUGUCCUGGGGUGGAAAGCUUUUGCGGUGUGGGAUGGGCCCGCGGCCUAUCAGCUUGUUGGUGGGGUGAUGGCCUACCAAGGCGACGACGGGUAGCCGGCCUGAGAGGGUGACCGGCCACACUGGGACUGAGAGACGGCCCAGACUCCUACGGGGGGCAGCAGUGGGGAAUAUUGCACAAUGGGCGCAAGCCUGAUGCAGCGACGCCGCGUGAGGGAUGACGGCCUUCGGGUUGUAAACCUCUUUCAGCACCGACGAAGCGCAAGUGACGGUAGGUGCAGAAGAAGGACCGGCCAACUACGUGCCAGCAGCCGCCGUAA